UACGUAGGGGGCUAGCGUUGUCCGGAAUCAUUGGGCGUAAAGCGCGUGUAGGCGGCCCGGUAAGUCCGCUGUGAAAGUCGGGGGCUCAACCCUCGGAUGCCGGUGGAUACUGUCGGGCUCGAGUACGGAAGAGGCGAGUGGAAUUCCUGGUGUAGCGGUGAAAUGCGCAGAUAUCAGGAGGAACACCGAUUGCGAAGGCAGCUCGCUGGGACGUUACUGACGCUGAGACGCGAAGGCGUGGGGAGCGAACGGG
rnacentral:rRNA from 1 species